AUGUACCUGUAAACAUUGAAAUUUUAUCAGAUUUACCUGUCUAAAUUUUAGCUUAUCGCCUAUAAAAAGGGACAAAUAUGUACUUGAAAAAGCAUCUCAAAUAUCACAUAUAAACUCUUUGAUAUAUUUACAAAGAGAUCAUGACUGACGUUUCACGAUCAAAUAAUCGCAAAAAGAUUGAAUUAUCCUGCGUUCGAGAGUUUGAAAAUUUAUUGCAUACAGUACCGUUUUGCGAAGAAAUUGCUUCAGGCUGCGAAGACGAUGCAAUCGAACGAAUCUCCACCGUCGAAUUACGAAUAUCUGGCGUAGGAUAAAGAAAAUCGGCGCAGGAUAAACAAUCAGCGUAGGAUAGAGAAUCGUCAAGUGGAUAUUGAAGCCAAGAGUUCAUCAUUUCAUCCUCUUGUAUAAAUAGUGGAGCUGAAGCUGUUACUGUUUCUUCAAUGGCUGAUUGUUGCUCGGAAGAAAGGGGGGAAGCAUUUGAUCCAAGAAAAUUUGAAGCGGCAGUGCAGCACAUGGGUUUAUAUUUUUGAGGUUACAAGUGGGAAUACCCCCUAUUAUAUUUAUUCAAUCAUAAAUUGUUGGGAAUCUGGAUGCUAUUACCAAACAACAUAACGACAUCAGUCUCAUGAAGAGUCAUUAAUCGUGCUAUACAAGUUAUGUCCUACACUAGAUAUUUAUAUUUGUUUCUUUCUUUUGUUUGGAUUUUCGCCAAACUAUAUCCAAAAGAGUUGCCUACCUCUUGAACCUAUGUAUCUAGGAAGACUUUGGACUCAUUUGGUUGCACUUAUUGGAGGUCUAAAUCUGACUGGUUCAGACCUUAGGCUAUUAAGUUCAUUUGUUUGCAUUAAGAUCUAAACACUUAUUGAGCCUGGAUAGGUCUUAAUCAUUAAGAUUUUAAACCAAGUCUUAAUAUCAUUAAGAGGUAUUCUUCUA